AGAGUUUGAUCCUGGCUCAGGAUGAACGCUGGCGGCGUGCCUAAUACAUGCAAGUCGAGCGAAUGGAUUGAGAGCUUGCUCUCAAGAAGUUAGCGGCGGACGGGUGAGUAACACGUGGGUAACCUGCCCAUAAGACUGGGAUAACUCCGGGAAACCGGGGCUAAUACCGGAUAACAUUUUGAACUGCAUGGUUCGAAAUUGAAAGGCGGCUUCGGCUGUCACUUAUGGAUGGACCCGCGUCGCAUUAGCUAGUUGGUGAGGUAACGGCUCACCAAGGCAACGAUGCGUAGCCGACCUGAGAGGGUGAUCGGCCACACUGGGACUGAGACACGGCCCAGACUCCUACGGGAGGCAGCAGUAGGGAAUCUUCCGCAAUGGACGAAAGUCUGACGGAGCAACGCCGCGUGAGUGAUGAAGGCUUUCGGGUCGUAAAACUCUGUUGUUAGGGAAGAACAAGUGCUAGUUGAAUAAGCUGGCACCUUGACGGUACCUAACCAGAAAGCCACGGCUAACUACGUGCCAGCAGCCGCGGUAAU
rnacentral:rRNA from 1 species